UUAAUAAAAAAACAUAACACUCCGCAUUCUUUCCCUUCCAGUAACGUUUCAAAACUUAACAUAACAACCACAUUAUGUUUUCUUGGCUAAGUCCAGUUUCCUUAUACGGCGGUUUCCUUCGCCGUUGCCUCACCAACGCCGGUCUAACUUCUCAAACCAUACAAAUCGACGAUGAAACCACCAUCCAUUUUUGGGGUCCAAAAAAAUCAUCAAACAACCAAUUAAUAAAACCAUCACUUAUCUUAAUCCACGGUUUUGGUCCUCAUGGUGUUUGGCAAUGGCGUCCACAGAUAACAUUCUUUUCUAACGACUUCGACAUAUAUAUUCCUAACCUUGUCUUCUUUGGUCGUUCAACGACAAAAUCUUCCGACAGGUCCGAGGUCUUUCAAGCAACCUGCGUGGUAAAGCUUUUAGAGAAACUUGGCGUUGAAAAGUGUUCGGUUAUUGGGACAAGUUAUGGUGGAUUUGUAGCGUAUCAUAUGGGGAAGAUGUGCCCGGGGAAGGUAGAAAAGGUAAUAAUAGCAAGUUCAGGGGUUAAUAUAAAGAAAAAAGAUAAUGAUGGGUUAAUGGAAAGAGCUAACGUAGAGAAGAUUGAGGAUUUACUGUUGCCGGCGACGGCGAGUCAGUUGCGGAAGUUGAUUAGUUUGUCUGCUCAUCGGCGUCCACCAUAUUUGCCGGAUUUCUUGUUCAAUGAUCUCAUCAACAAAUUAUAUGUUGAAAACAGGAAGGAGAAGCUGGAACUGUUAAAAGGUUUGAGCCUUGGAAGAGAUGACACAGUAGAUCAUAUUACUCCACUUCAACAGGAAGUAUUAAUUGUGUGGGGAGAGCAUGAUCAGAUAUUCCUACUUGACAAGGCAACUGAACUCAAAGAGUACCCGAAGAUACAUCCCGAAGACGACACUCGGAAGGAACCCGGAGACUUCAUCGAAUCACUGUUUGUAUUUACUUUCCGCAUUUUUUAUAUAACUGUACAAAACAUAACACUACUAAAAAAAUGGUCAUUUUCGACCACACAUUUGGUCGAAAAAAAAUCGACCACGGAUGGUCGAAAUUUGAAGAAUUUAAUUUUUAUUUAAUUUUUUAUAGAAUUUCGACCAUACUGGGUCGAUUUUUUAAUAGGAAAAAUACAUUUCGACCACGUGUGGUCGAAAUUAAUUUUUAUACAAAUAAUAAAUGAGAAAAAAACAUUUUAUACAGAAUUAAAUUAUAUAUAUAUAUAAAAAUUAAUUAAAAAAUAAAAAUAAAAAUCUAAUUUCGACUACAUGUGGUCGAAAUAAUUAAGUCAAAGUCGGUCAAAUCUGACUUAAUUAUUUUCGACCACAUGUGGUCGAAAAUUUCAAAAGAUUUAGACUCUAGUCUCUUUAAUUUUCUUUUCAUUUCCCCCCUUUCUCUUUCACUCUCUUCUCUCUCUCUCCUCUCUCUACCAUGCUAAGUUCAUCUCACAAAGAAGAGCUUGAGAGAAUCCUGAGGUUACAAUUAAUGCUUGGCAAGAGAAAUUAACGAGACCCGUAUCUUGGCGGGGCAACCCGGAUCUGAACCCGAGGUUUGCAGCCAUGGCGAUGUCUUUAUUUUCUUGUUUUAUAAACAGAUCUGAGCUUUAAUUUUAGUCUUGUAGCUCUUGUUUGAAUGGUUGUUACCUAUUGUAUUGUGUUAUUAUGCUAAAAGGGUGUGUUUGGUAUGAAGAAAAUGUUUUUUGUUUUGUCAUAAAAAAAAAGAUGUUUUUGUUUGAAGAAAGUUGGGAAAUUUUUAGGCAAGGGCCAAGAAUUUUCUUUAAAAAAAAUUCUGGCCAGAGACAGAAAAGGGAUGUUCUGUUAAGGGCGGUUGCCCCUCUCUGUUGUGCCAAUGAUUUUCUUUUUAGCAACUAAACCAACAGCCCUUUGUUCAUGAAAAAUAUGCAUGCAUUUUCUUCAAUCUACAGCUUCAGCCAGGGGCGGACCUAUGUAGAAUUUUUGGGUGCUCCGGCACCCAUUAAAUUCAGUUACGGAGUGUAUAACUGUAUAGAAAAUAUAAAGGAAACAGAUAUAAAUAGUUAAUAGAGCACCCCGAACUCAAAAUUCUGGGUCCGCCUCCGGCUUCAGCUGUAUAUCUCAGUGUGUGUUUCUGUUUCCUCCUUUUGGAGUAAUUGAGCAAAAGAGGUUGUGAUGAAGAUAAUGUUUUACUGUCUGGGCUAACAAGGGCAUUGAGGGCAGUCCGACCCGUAUCUUGGCUUGGCAAAUCCCAGGAUGGCCUGCAUCUGAGGCUCUCUUUGGCAUGCGACUGGUGAUUUUGCAGCCAUGGCGUGGUUGCCAUCUCUUUGUCCGAGCAAAAAUGUAGUAUCUGAGCCUCAAAUUUUUGUGCUUUAAAGGGUCGUUUGGUUGUUGGUUAGGAAGUGAGUUAUUCGUGUUAGGAGGAUUAUUUCCCCCUUUAGAGUAAUUGAGCAUGUUCCUGAAUCAACUUCCAAAUAUCAUCUUCUUAUCAGCUGAGCCAUGUUAGCAUAUACUAGUAGUCAAUAGCAUAAUUAAACGUACUUAUAUUUGAUAAGGUUGACAUUCUCUCAUUCCUAUCAAAUUGAAAGAGAUUUUGGCGUUGAGAUGAUGAAAAAGAAUACUAUAAAUGCAUGACCUGGACUUCAGAAAUUCAAUUCUUUGGAACCUAUUGAAAAUGUAUGAAGGAUUUUGCCCAUUUCGACUCUUCUCAGCAUACACUGUGCCAGUGUUCAGGAAAGCUGGCGCUUCACCGCUACGCUUCGCUUAAAGCGGUGAAGCGAAGCUUUGUCACUUCAGGUAAGUGGAGCGGAGGCUACCCAAUUAAGCGGACGCUUCUGAGAAUGAAGCGGUGAAGCGGCAAGUCAUUUCCUAGUUGAUGAAGUUGAAGAAGAUGAUAAUGAAAUUGAAGAAGAUGAUGAGCAAUAUGAUGAUGAUGUGGGAGUACAAGAUUUUGACAAUCUUGUAGAAGAAUAAGAACUAGAUGUCGAACUAUUAGUAGCUUUGAUUUUGUUUGUCCUAUGGUCUGGAGGAUUUUGUGAUAUCCACUUUAGUUUUUUAUUUGAACUUUUAGUCUAUGGAUAUCUACUUUAGUUUUGAAUUUGAACUUUUGCUUAUAUAUAUAUUCUCUAUUUAUUUUGCUCUUUUUAAAAAAAAAAAUUGCGCUUCACCUCAAUGAAGUGGGCACUUCGCUUUUGCAUCUUUUGCUAUUGUUGUUUCAUCUUUUGCAUAUCUUGUAAGCUUAAACAGGAAGAGAGCGGAUCAGUGAGUGACUUAAGAUACUACAAGAACUUGUUCCCAAUGGUUCCAAGGUUGAUUUGGUCACCAUGUUAGAGAAAGCAAUCAGUUACGUCAAGUUUCUUCAAUUGCAAGUGAAGGUGUUGGCAACAGAUGAAUUUUGGCCGACACAGGGUGGAAAAGCUUCAAAUAUUUCUCAAGUAAAAGAUGCCAUUGAUGCCAUCCUUGCCAGUCAACGAGACAGAAACUCAACCUCCAAGUGAUUAUAUAGUACCUAGCUAGAUUAAUCUGUUGAAGAAAAUGAAAGAAUUAAAAGGGUUUCACAAAUAAUUGAAGUAGCGCAGCAAUGGCUUCAAAGGAAAUAGAGUUCCCUUUGGAGAACUAAUAUGGUGGUGAAAAUUUAGCCUUAAUUUGUGCAUUCCGAGCUUCUUUGAUUAACCAUGUAUUAGAAGUCAUCUAAAAGCUAAAAAAAGAAGAAAUUUUCUUUGUUUUAGUUCGUCUUUUUUGUCAUGCACUCAUGCUUUAUCAGUUUGUAAUAUGGGGAUUUUUAGUUCGAAUUAGAAGCACUUUUAAGUUUAUAAUGUUUAAGUGUUUGAAUGAUGUUUAUGAUGUUUAAGUGUUUGAAUGUAGUUUUAAUUUUAAGUACUUUGAGGUUGAAUUUGAUUGUUUAUAAGUGUUUGAAUGGACAAUGUUUAAGUGUUCAAGUGUU